rnacentral:snoRNA from 1 species
AUUAAAUUUGCCAGUGAUGCAUGAAAUGAUGUAUUGAUAAAAAUAGUGAUAGUUGCAUCAUUCGUCACUACCACUGAGGCAUUCAU